rnacentral:lncRNA from 10 species
CCCAGCUCACCCGCUGUCAGCUGGGGUCCUGCUCUGGUGGGAGGAAGAGGCUCAGACGCUUCCCUGCCCUCUCGCCUCAACCACCUCGAGGCAGCGGCUCCCAGGAUGUGCACUUUGACGACUAAAGCUGAGCCGGCGCCGCCACGACCUUGGGCGGGUGGUCGGCCUCUGCCCUGAGCAGGAAGUAGAAAGUCUCAGCAGACCCUUCCUGAGGGCCGAGCAACAGUGUAGUGGCGUAUUCCACAUAGCAAACAGUUUUCUGAAGCUCAGAGGGACACCUUGUAUUGCUGGAUGAUAAAAACAGGAGCAAAGUGAUGAAGUGCUGACAAGGCAACAAUAGAACAUGAGAGAUUCACUGCUGUGUAGGAAGAGAUCUUCGGUGACCAUGUAGCCUGAAGCUCUCAUUUUGUCAUCGAGGGACACCAAAACUCAGAACAG